CCCGCGUGCAGUGGAGGAAGGCAGCGUGUCAGGAGUGAAGGGUUGCGCCUCUCGCUUACACGGGUUCCAGUUAAGUAGCUGAAGAGAUCUGGAAUUAUGAAUCACGCCAGGAAAGCAAUUUUUAACAUGUUCGGAGCAGAGCCCCUCUCCUAUACUCGCUUCAGUUUGGCCCGACAGCCGGAUGGAGACAGCAGCCGGGUGGAAAUGAAACUCUCGGCCGAGGAAGAGGAAGGAGGGGAAAACGGCAUGAUCGACCAUCUGCCCCCCCGGAAAGUCAAAGCCAGGAGCCAUCGGAACCUCUGCUGUGUGUGUGGCGGGGCGGCCCUGCUUUUCCU